rnacentral:rRNA from 1 species
GAAACGGUAGCUAAUACCGCAUAACGUCGCAAGACCAAAGAGGGGGACCUUCGGGCCUCUUGCCAUCGGAUGUGCCCAGAUGGGAUUAGCUAGUAGGUGGGGUAACGGCUCACCUAGGCGACGAUCCCUAGCUGGUCUGAGAGGAUGACCAGCCACACUGGAACUGAGACACGGUCCAGACUCCUACGGGAGGCAGCAGUGGGGAAUAUUGCACAAUGGGCGCAAGCCUGAUGCAGCCAUGCCGCGUGUAUGAAGAAGGCCUUCGGGUUGUAAAGU